rnacentral:rRNA from 1 species
UACGUAGGGUGCGAGCGUUAAUCGGAAUUACUGGGCGUAAAGCGUGCGCAGGCGGUUUUGUAAGCCAGAUGUGAAAUCCCCGGGCUUAACCUGGGAAUGGCAUUUGGGACUGCAAGGCUGGAGUGCGGCAGAGGAGACUGGAAUUCCCGGUGUAGCAGUGAAAUGCGUAGAUAUCUGGAGGAACACCGGUGGCGAAGGCGGCGUUCUGGACUGCAACUGACACUGAUGAACGAAAGCCAGGGGAGCAAACGGG